rnacentral:rRNA from 1 species
ACAGGUGUUGCAUGGCUGUCGUCAGCUCGUGUCGUGAGAUGUUGGGUUAAGUCCCGCAACGAGCGCAACCCUCAUCCUUAGUUGCCAUCAGGUGAUGCUGGGAACUCUAAGGAAACUACUAGUGAUAAACUGGGGGAAGGUGGGGAUGAUGUCAAGUCAUCAUGGCCCUUAUGGAGUGGGCUACACACGUGCUACAAUGGUGGCUACAAUGGGCUGCAAAGUCGCGAGACCAAGCUAAUCCCUUAAAAGUCAUCUCAGUUCGGAUUGUACUCUGCAACUCGAGUGCAUGAAGUUGGAAUCGCUAGUAAUCGUGGAUCAGCAUGCCACGGUGAAUACGUUCUCGGGUCUUGUACACACUGCCCGUCACGCCAUGG